rnacentral:rRNA from 1 species
UACGUAGGGUGCAAGCGUUAAUCGGAAUUACUGGGCGUAAAGCGUGCGCAGGCGGUCGUGUAAGUCUGUCGUGAAAUCCCCGGGCUCAACCUGGGAAUUGCGAUGGAGACUGCACGGCUAGAGUGUGUCAGAGGGGGGUAGAAUUCCACGUGUAGCAGUGAAAUGCGUAGAUAUGUGGAGGAACACCGAUGGCGAAGGCAGCCCCCUGGGAUAACACUGACGCUCAUGCACGAAAGCGUGGGGAGCAAACAGG